UUUUUAGCCUGAGUACAAGGACUGACAACUUUUUUGUUUAUAUAUAUAUAAACAAAAAAGUUGUCAGUCCUUGUACUCAGGCUAAAAA
rnacentral:miRNA from 1 species